rnacentral:lncRNA from 1 species
UGAUAUCUCAAAGCCUCUUUCCUCUUAAUAUAUAUUUAAAAGGUCUCACUCCAUAAAUCAUUUCUCAGCAACUAGUCAUUUAUUUUUCGUCGAAACUGGGAUAUUUUUGGCUUGGACUCAUCAUACUGGUCUACUAAUUUCACUCUAAACUAAGGAUUUUGUGACCGUCUACACGUAUUCGGUUAUCUCAGUUUUGUGAUCAUCGCUAGUUAAGGUUAUCAAGAUUACUGGGACGGGAUAUGGAAGAAAGUUCGAGUAUUUGGAAAAGACCGUAGAAAUAAAUGUACUGGAUUAGAUAUCCUAUUUCCAUUAAGUUUGACACGUCGACCUGUUCCGGGUUGGGGUGUUACAAUUGCUCUUUGUUGUUGUAA